rnacentral:rRNA from 1 species
UACGUAGGUGGCAAGCGUUAUCCGGAAUUAUUGGGCGUAAAGCGCGCGCAGGCGGUUUCUUAAGUCUGAUGUGAAAGCCCACGGCUCAACCGUGGAGGGUCAUUGGAAACUGGGGAACUUGAGUGCAGAAGAGAAAAGCGGAAUUCCACGUGUAGCGGUGAAAUGCGUAGAGAUGUGGAGGAACACCAGUGGCGAAGGCGGCUUCCUGGACCGACACUGACGCUGAGGCGCGAAAGCUAGGGGAGCAAACGGG